UAACUGGAGGAGUUCUGAGAACGUUUUACCCUCUCUGGAACCAUGAGGAAAUUCUGGAGGGCAGAGACGUUCUGUCUCUAGCUUAGCUCUCACUCCUUAAGGUGGGUCUGCCACCGCUGAGGUGCCCCCUUGGGUGGUCUGUGAGACUCCUGCAGCAGCUCUGCACGACUUCUGGGGUCCACAGUCCAGGACAGAUGUGAAGUUUUGGCAUCAACAUAUUCUUGGGAGGCUGCGUCGUCCUAUCACAGCGAAUAAAGAAUUAUUUCACCUGUAAGUCUGCCUGGGCGAAAUUCCCGCAACUUAUACUCAAUUCUCAGAAAAGUUGGGACGUGGGGGCCUGCACACCUUCCAUAGAAGAGCAGGGAGCUUAACAAGCCUCUAUGUUCCCUACAAAGUGUGGGAACUUUGUAAAGUGUGAUUCCGGGGAAAGUG
rnacentral:lncRNA from 1 species